rnacentral:rRNA from 1 species
GGUUAAGCGACCAAGCGUACACGGUGGAUGCCCUGGCAGUCAGAGGCGAUGAAGGACGUGCUAAUCUGCGAAAAGCGCCGGUAAGGUGAUAUGAACCGUUAUAACCGGCGAUGUCCGAAUGGGGAAACCCAGUGUGACUCGUCACACUAUCAUUAACUGAAUCCAUAGGUUAAUGAGGCGAACCGGGGGAACUGAAACAUCUAAGUACCCCGAGGAAAAGAAAUCAACCGAGAUUCCCCCAGUAGCGGCGAGCGAACGGGGAGGAGCCCAGAGCCUGAAUCAGCAUAUGUGUUAGUGGAAGCGUCUGGAAAGGCGCGCGAUACAGGGUGACAGCCCCGUACACAAAAGCGCAUAUGCUGUGAGCUCGAUGAGUAGGGCGGGACACGUGGUAUCCUGUCUGAAUAUGGGGGGACCAUCCUCCAAGGCUAAAUACUCCUGACUGACCGAUAGUGAACCAGUACCGUGAGGGAAAGGCGAAAAGAACCCCGGCGAGGGGAGUGAAACAGAACCUGAAACCGUGUACGUACAAGCAGUGGGAGCAUGAGUUUACUCAUGUGACUGCGUACCUUUUGUAUAAUGGGUCAGCGACUUAUAUUCUGUAGCAAGGUUAACCGUAUAGGGGAGCCGCAGGGAAACCGAGUCUUAACCGGGCGUUAAGUUGCAGGGUAUAGACCCGAAACCCGGUGAUCUAGCCAUGGGCAGGUUGAAGGUUGGGUAACACUAACUGGAGGACCGAACCGACUAAUGUUGAAAAAUUAGCGGAUGACCUGUGGCUGGGGGUGAAAGGCCAAUCAAACCGGGAGAUAGCUGGUUCUCCCCGAAAGCUAUUUAGGUAGCGCCUCGUGAAUUCAUCUCCGGGGGUAGAGCACUGUUUCGGCCAGGGGGCCAUCCCGGCUUACCAACCCGAUGCAAACUGCGAAUACCGGAGAAUGUUAUCACGGGAGACACACGGCGGGUGCUAACGUCCGUCGUGAAGAGGGAAACAACCCAGACCGCCAGCUAAGGUCCCAAAGUCAUGGUUAAGUGGGAAACGAUGUGGGAAGGCCCAGACAGCCAGGAUGUUGGCUUAGAAGCAGCCAUCAUUUAAAGAAAGCGUAAUAGCUCACUGGUCGAGUCGGCCUGCGCGGAAGAUGUAACGGGGCUAAACCAUGCACCGAAGCUGCGGCAGCGACACUGUGUGUUGUUGGGUAGGGGAGCGUUCUGUAAGCCUGCGAAGGUGGCCUGUGAGGGUUGCUGGAGGUAUCAGAAGUGCGAAUGCUGACAUAAGUAACGAUAAUGCGGGUGAAAAACCCGCACGCCGGAAGACCAAGGGUUCCUGUCCAACGUUAAUCGGGGCAGGGUGAGUCGACCCCUAAGGCGAGGCCGAAAGGCGUAGUCGAUGGGAAACGGGUUAAUAUUCCCGUACCUGGUGUUACUGCGAAGGGGGGACGGAGAAGGCUAUGUUGGCCGGGCGACGGUUGUCCCGGUUUAAGCGUGUAGGCUGGUUUUCCAGGCAAAUCCGGAAAAUCAAGGCUGAGGCGUGACGACGAGGCACUACGGUGCUGAAGCAACAAAUGCCCUGCUUCCAGGAAAAGCCUCUAAGCCUCAGGUAACAUCAGAUCGUACCCGAAACCGACACAGGUGGUCAGGUAGAGAAUACCAAGGCGCUUGAGAGAACCCGGGUGAAGGAACUAGGCAAAAUGGUGCCGUAACUUCGGGAGAAGGCACGCUGACACGUAGGUGAAGUGAUUUACUCAUGGAGCUGAAGUCAGUCGAAGAUACCAGCUGGCUGCAACUGUUUAUUAAAAACACAGCACUGUGCAAACACGAAAGUGGACGUAUACGGUGUGACGCCUGCCCGGUGCCGGAAGGUUAAUUGAUGGGGUCAGCGCAAGCGAAGCUCCUGAUCGAAGCCCCGGUAAACGGCGGCCGUAACUAUAACGGUCCUAAGGUAGCGAAAUUCCUUGUCGGGUAAGUUCCGACCUGCACGAAUGGCGUAAUGAUGGCCAGGCUGUCUCCACCCGGGACUCAGUGAAAUUGAACUCGCUGUGAAGAUGCAGUGUACCCGCGGCAAGACGGAAAGACCCCGUGAACCUUUACUAUAGCUUGACACUGAACACUGGUCCUUGAUGUGCAGGAUAGGUGGGAGGCUUUGAAGUGUGGACGCCAGUCUGCAUGGAGCCGUCCUUGAAAUACCACCCUUUAAUGGCUGGUGUUCUAACGUAGACCCGUGAACCGGGUUGCGGACAGUGUCUGGUGGGUAGUUUGACUGGGGCGGUCUCCUCCUAAAGCGUAACGGAGGAGCACGAAGGUUGGCUAAUCCUGGUCGGACAUCAGGAGGUUAGUGCAAUGGCAUAAGCCAGCUUGACUGCGAGCGUGACGGCGCGAGCAGGUGCGAAAGCAGGUCAUAGUGAUCCGGUGGUUCUGAAUGGAAGGGCCAUCGCUCAACGGAUAAAAGGUACUCCGGGGAUAACAGGCUGAUACCGCCCAAGAGUUCAUAUCGACGGCGGUGUUUGGCACCUCGAUGUCGGCUCAUCACAUCCUGGGGCUGAAGUAGGUCCCAAGGGUAUGGCUGUUCGCCAUUUAAAGUGGUACGCGAGCUGGGUUUAGAACGUCGUGAGACAGUUCGGUCCCUAUCUGCCGUGGGCGCUGGAGAACUGAGGGGGGCUGCUCCUAGUACGAGAGGACCGGAGUGGACGCAUCACUGGUGUUCGGGUUGUCAUGCCAAUGGCACUGCCCGGUAGCUAAAUGCGGAAGAGAUAAGUGCUGAAAGCAUCUAAGCACGAAACUUGCCCCGAGAUGAGUUCUCCCUGAGACUACGAGUCUCCUGAAGGAACGUUGAAGACGACGACGUUGAUAGGCCGGGUGUGUAAGCGCAGCGAUGCGUUGAGCUAACCGGUACUAAUGAACCGUGAGGCUUAACCUUAC